UUGAGACUUUAAAAAAAAAUCGUUGAUAUUGAAUCUGUCAAAUAUUGGAAAAUUACUAAAAGUGGUUUUGAUUCAUGAAAAGUCCGACUAUAAGAUCUCUAAACGUUCAUUUCGUUCAAAGUCCGUAUGUAAUGAUGGGUUAUAUAAAAUUCUGGGAGUUGAAGAAUUGUGAAAUGCGCAAUUCCAGAUAAUUCGAAGAUGAAGCUGCUUGAGAUCUUAGCAAACAAUGCGAAACAUUCAAAGCGAAACGGAGAAAAACGCAGCGCCGAGAUGCAAAACAUUUGACUAAGAGUUCAAUCAUUAACUUCCUUUUUAAUAUCCAUUAAAUAUUAGCUCAACAACAAUAAUAACAUCAACAAUAAUAAAGUAUGAGUUAUGUGCAUAAUUUACGUACGAUCGCAUGAGAAUAGCCCAUUAAUUUUAACAAAAA